UACGUAGGGACCAAGCGUUGUUCGGAUUUACUGGGCGUAAAGGGCGCGUAGGCGGCGUGUUAAGUCACUUGUGAAAUCUCUAAGCUUAACUUAGAACGGUCAAGUGAUACUGACGUGCUAGAGUGCAGAAGGGGCAACCGGAGUUCUUGGUGUAGCGGUGAAAUGCGUAGAUAUCAAGAGGAACACCUGAGGUGAAGACGGGUUGCUGGGCUGACACGUGACGCUGAGGCGCGAAAGCUAGGGUAGCAAACGGG
rnacentral:rRNA from 1 species